UUUCCAAAGUAAUAUAAAAACGUACGGUAUUUACGCGAGUAUUAAAACGGUCAAUAGCGAAAUAGUUGCUCAGUGAUAAGGUGAGGUUAUUCGAAUCGUUAGCGAGUGUGUACAUCUGUUUGUUUUAUCGUGAUAUAUAAUCGGUUUGACGGGUGAAGAAAUUUUUUCGCGUGGCAGCCAUAUUUUCGUCACAUGCAACCUGUUGUUUUGAAAGCGUGGCGGAGUGAGUGCAAGAGUGCCUGAUUCCUAGACGUCAAAAGGAGAUUCCGGAGAUCAGAAGACGUCCCCCAGGAUGAACGGAGAUACUCUGCACAGUGGGCAUAAGGUACGAACUACUCUUACACUUUCUAUUUUAAUUUAUUUUAUUUUUUCAAAAUUUUUAUUCUUCUCUUCUUACGAUACGAUCCAUCCAUGCCUAUCUAUACAAUCUUCAUCUAUUCUUCCGUUUCCAACUAUAUCGUGUUACCUACUCGACAAAAUUUAACAAGCAAUGCUGUUCUACGAACCGCGUUAAUUCCACCCCAUCUACGCUUAUAUAAUUCGUUCCAUUGUUGAACAAUUGUAAGCACUGGCACAUGAAUAUAAAUGGAGGUAAUACAGGAACAAAGUUUUUGCAUCAUAAAUCAGAGAAACGAAACUAUAAAGUAUUCAUCAUCAUAUUGUUGGAUAACGUGUACGAAUUGUCAAAGAUAAUCUUCCUUUGAAAUACAUUGUAAAGAGAAAAAAAAAUUACUUGGAUUUUUUUUUGCGCCGAAAUUUUUACUCGAAAUUAAUUUUUAAAGUAUUAUCUGUAUCUACCCUGUAAAAACGUGAAAAAUAUUGUCCGGCAGUGUACCGUGUCUACUGACAUUUUUGUUCGAC
rnacentral:misc_RNA from 1 species